ACGAAGGGGGCUAGCGUUGUUCGGAAUUACUGGGCGUAAAGCGCGUGUAGGCGGUUUGCCAAGUCGGGUGUGAAAGCCUUGGGCUUAACCCAAGAAAUGCACUCGGUACUGGCAGACUAGAGGACCGGAGAGGAUAGUGGAAUUCCCAGUGUAGUGGUGAAAUACGUAGAGAUUGGGAAGAACACCAGUGGCGAAGGCGGCUAUCUGGACGGUUUCUGACGCUAAGACGCGAAAGCGUGGGGAGCAAACAGGAUUAGAUACCCUGGUAGUCCACGCCGUAAACGAUGGGUGCUAGACGUUGGCGAGCUUGCUCGUCAGUGUCGCAGCUAACGCGUUAAGCACCCCGCCUGGGGAGUACGGCCGCAAGGUUG
rnacentral:rRNA from 1 species